AGAACGAACGCUGGCGGCAGGCCUCAAACAUGCAAGUCUAGGGGGUGUAGCAAUACAUCACCGGCGGACGGGUGCGUAACACGUGGGAAUAUACCUUUUGGUUCGGAACAACGCAGGGAAACUUGCGCUAAUACCGAAUGUGCCCUUGCGGGGAAAGAUUUAUCGCCAAAGGAUUAGCCCGCGUAGGAUUAGCUAGUUGGUGAGGUAAUGGCUCACCAAGGCUCCGAUCCUUAGCUGUUCUGAGAGGAAGAUCAGCCACACUGGGACUGAGACACGGCCCAGACUCCUACGGGAGGCAGCAGUUGGGAAUCUUGGACAAGUGGGGAAACCCUGAUCCAGCCAUGCCGCGUGAGUGAUAGGACGUCCGUU
rnacentral:rRNA from 1 species